rnacentral:lncRNA from 1 species
AAGAUCUAUGAAUGCUGCAUUAUAAAUUUGUUUGAGUUUCUGAUAUCAUUCGGUGUCACAUUUUGAGUUUAAUCACUAAUUAAGACUGCCUACAAUAUUAACAUUUUUUUGUAGGUUUUUGUUUAGAUAACUUAUCCCAUUAGAGCAGCCAUUCAGGAGACAAAGACCCAGCUAUAUGUAAUGGUUUUGCUCGUUCUGAAAUGUGCCAAGAAAGCAUAAUUCAGUAUUAAACUCCAAAUUUCAAUUUUUUUAAAGUAGCAUUUCCCCUGGGUAAGGGCGAAGGCUGUGAGUAAUUGCGGUGGUGCACACUUCCCACUACUUGCCUCCUCCCUUGCCCCUCCCAUCUCACAUUAAAUUUGUAGCCAAUUGUAGACAAAGAAGUUGACACCUUUCUAAGUAAGGUUUCGUUCCCUGUGACUAAGAAUAGGUGGCAGGAAUCAUGGCUGAAAAUCAAUUAUUGAGUUGGUAGCUUGGUCCUGUUACAGUUUGCUUUCUGUAGUAUUCUGAAACAAAAGAAUGAUGCCAUCCCUUCUCAGGUACCUAGAAACACCACCACAUAAGCAACUGGAAUAUGUCUGCUACAAGUAGAAAAUAUUAGAGAAGAAGGCAAAGAGGAGCACAAAACCGGACUUUCCCUUUCACGUAGUUUAACUGAACGUGUUAGUAACUGGUCUGUCUAGGACUUGAUGUGUCCAUCGUAAAUAAUGCAGCAUUUAUCUUAUCUGUUUGCGUGUGGUGGUGUAUGUAUACGUAUUUAAUCUGUACACAUCUAUUCUCUGUGCAUUUGUAUGUAUGAUAUUCGUAUGUGCGUGCAGUCUACUCUUGAUUAUCGGCAGGAGGGUAAGCCUCACUAGACUGUUCAUGUUGACUUAAUCUGCAUGUAGCCCGUAACUCUGUGAAGCCUCUUCCGCAUCUGAAGCCACGGUCUUUCCUACUUCAGUUCAACUUGGUCCCCAAGAAAGGCCCUUGAAAUAUAUCACUUUCCAUUUCCCUUUCACCAGGGAUUGUGUGAACCAGAAAGACAGCUUUCGAGAAAGAUGGCAGCUUCCUCCAGGGUUGAGGCUUCUGGGUCUGCAUGAUGAUGGGGCCCAUUCCGGGCCGGCUCUGGGAGCAGUUGUGCUCAUGGGCUUGAUGGGGGAGAAAUGUAGCUCUUGCAGAAAUGGAGCUUCACAGCUUGCUCCAAUUCCUUAGCUGGAAUGUUGUGAAGUCCUAGAUAACAUGAUGUACGAACACAGUACAGGUAUGCAUUUCCCCGUCAUUUUUGCAUCGUCAGUAUUGCUGUUCCCCAUUGCUAGCCCAGAUAAUCAAGAUCUGACUGUUUCU